rnacentral:antisense_RNA from 1 species
GAGCUCUGUGGGCCCCAGGAGCCCCGGGAAAACCUGGGGGAGAAUGGGCAUCCCACCCCAGCACUUUCUAGGAAGAAGGGCAACAUUUUGAAGGGCUGGAAGUAGAGAAAGAAGGUUGCGGGUAGAAGACUCCAUACUUUCUGUGACGCCUAUUCCUUAGGUAGGAACUUAGGAACCUCAGCCAGAGGCGUGGCUUGCCUGGGCCUCUGGGUGCAGCUGCACAGACUCAAGCAGCCUGAAGGAAAGGUGACUGACAGUUAAUGAUCUGAAAAGAACUUGUCUCAACUCAACGUCAUUCCUGGCAUUAUCGAACAAAGCAAUAAACCUCACAGAAUGGAAGCUACAGUGUCCAGGGCCAGCUCUGCUAAGGUAACCAAAGACAGAGAAGGAGGCAAAAGUGACAGAAGAAACUCAUGGGAAACCAACAGAAAUAUAAUGGCUUUGGCAGAAAUGCAAUUAUCAAUUGGGAGCUUGUGAUGAAUGUUUUCUCAGUAUCCUAUGCUGAAAACAGGUAGAUACUAAUCCCUCCUUCAAGGGAGGGCUGUUGAGUAUUGAAUAAGAUAAAAACAUGGAAGCAAUCAGCACAAUGCUGGAAUCAAGCCUAUCUGUAAUCACAGGGCUAUUUGAAAAAGAGAAGAAAAGGUGUCUUGAAAUUAAACCAACAUGUUUCAAUUAUUUGCUCCUAAGAACAACAGAAGUUUCAACAUUCUGCCAACACAGUAACUCCUGGGAGAUUGGCACAGAAGAAGGCAC